AAUAAGUUUAUUUUUUAGUUUUUGGAUACAAUGUUUUGACUCUUCGUCCUAUUUGAAAUUUUUUUGUGAUUAAUAUUUUUAUUGUUACUAGAUGAUAAAACAUAAAUAGCUAGUAUUUUAUGCGUGACUAAUUUUUUAAGUUUUUUAUAAGUUUUUCAAAUAAGACGAAUUGUCAAAGUUUGGAUAAAAAAUC
rnacentral:pre_miRNA from 1 species